UACAGAGGGGGCAAGCGUUGUUCGGAAUUACUGGGCGUAAAGCGUGCGCAGGCGGUUCUCCAAGUCAGUGGGGAAAGCCCGGAGCUCAACUCCGGAACUGCCAUUGAAACUGUAGAGCUAGAGUACGAGAGAGGUGAGUGGAAUUCCCAGUGUAGAGGUGAAAUUCGUAGAUAUUGGGAAGAACACCGGUGGCGAAGGCGGCUCACUGGCUCGUAACUGACGCUCAUGCACGACAGCGUGGGGAUCAAACAGG
rnacentral:rRNA from 1 species